ACAGCAGUCGCCACGGUAAUACGUAGGGUGCGAGCGUUAAUCGGAAUUACUGGGCGUAAAGCGUGCGCAGGCGGUUCGUUAAGACAGAUGUGAAAUCCCCGGGCUUAACCUGGGAACUGCAUUUGUGACUGGCGAGCUAGAGUAUGGCAGAGGGGGGUAGAAUUCCACGUGUAGCAGUGAAAUGCGUAGAGAUGUGGAGGAAUACCGAUGGCGAAGGCAGCCCCCUGGGCCAAUACUGACGCUCAUGCACGAAAGCGUGGGGAGCAAACAGGAUUAGAUACCCCGGUAGUCCCUGUCUCUUAUAC
rnacentral:rRNA from 1 species